rnacentral:rRNA from 1 species
GGUGAGUAACACGUGAGCAACCUGCCGGGAAGCCCGGGAUAGCCCUCCGAAAGGAGGAUUAAUACCGGAUGUGGCCACCCUGCGAUUGCAGGGGAAGCUAAAGGAUUUAUUCACUUCCCGAGGGGCUCGCGGUCCAUCAGCUUGUUGGUGAGGGUAACGGCCCACCAAGGCGACAACGGGUAGCUGGUCUGAGAGGAUGGUCAGCCACACUGGAACUGAGACACGGUCCAGACACCUACGGGUGGCAGCAGUCGAGAAUCAUUCGCAAUGGGGGAAACCCUGACGAUGCGACGCCGCGUGGAGGAUGAAGGCCUUAGGGUUGUAAACUCCUGUCAAGAGGGAAUAAGCAAGUGAAGGUACCUCUAGAGGAAGGGGCGGCUAAUUCCGUGCCAGCAGCCGCGGUAACACGGAAGCCCCGAGCGUUGUUCGGAUUCAUUGGGCGUAAAGGGUGCGUAGGCGGCGCGGAAAGUCCGGCGUGAAAGGCAGAGGCUCAACCUCUGGACUGCGUUGGAUACUUCCGUGCUUGAGGACUGGAGGGGAGACUGGAAUUCACGGUGUAGCAGUGAAAUGCGUAGAUAUCGUGAGGAAGACCGGCGGCGAAGGCGAGUCUCUGGACAGAUCCUGACGCUGAGGCACGAAGGCUGGGGGAGCGAACAGGAUUAGAUACCCUGGUAGUCCCAGCAGUAAACGAUGUGAGCUUGAUGUGGGGGGAUUCGACCCCUUCCGUGUCGAAGCUAACGCGAUAAGCUCACCGCCUGAGGAGUACGGCUGCAAGGCUAAAACUCAAAGAAAUUGACGGGGACCCGCACAAGCGGUGGAGUAUGUGGCUUAAUUCGAUGCAACGCGAAGAACCUUACCUGGCCUUGACAUGCAUUGUGUCGUCGGUGAAAGCCGGCUAGUCCUGGAAACAGGACGCUUUGCACAGUUGUUGCAUGGCAGUGGUCAGCUCGUGUCGUGAGAUGUUGGGUUAAGUCCCGCAACGAGCGCAACCAUUGUGGUCAGUUACUAACCGGCUUAGCCGGAGGACUCUGGCCAGACUGCCCUGUCAAACGGGGAGGAAGGUGGGGAGGACGUCAAGUCAGUAUGGCCCUUAUGGCCAGGGCUGCACACGUACUACAAUGCCCGGUACAAUGUAACCGAAACC